GUCCAUAUGGGUGCAAGGGGUAUUCACUCAUCUCUUUGUAUGCUGGCAGUACCAAACCGAAGUUUAGCACUGUGCAGCUGAGAUUUUGUGCAGCCAGACGAUACAUGAGAAAGUGGAGAUGCCAGCACUGGACAAGAUGGUCUUGGAAGAAAGGUCAAGUGCUUCCUCACUUAAAAGGGGCUACCUCUCCUGGGAAUGAGUGAACAUCCAGAAUAGUCACUGUUGGAAGAUGCCCAGGAUCUGGAAUGACGAGCAUGGUACAAAACUGAAG